CGGUUCAGUCGCCUCAGCCGCGGUGUGAGGGAGCGGGAGUCUUCCUUAGCUUCUCCGCCAUGGGUGUCGCUUCGUAGCCGGGCUGCUCCGGGAAAGGCCUCGUACAGGUGAGCGGGGCGGCGUUCGCGCCUCACCUGGGGACCCCCGACACAACCGAGUGGAAGGGGACAUUGGUCAGUGCCCGCCCAAGGUCGUCCGCGCGUGUGUCGGCCCUCGGAGGUGCUUUGGAGUCACUCACAGAAACGGAGAAGCGGGGGCUCCUCGAAGGGUGCGCGGCACCUGGUUCACCCCAUCUUUUCCCUCUGGACCACGUCCAAGCCCUCCACACACGUUUGGGGCGCAGGGGGCGCGGCGGGCUUGGGACCCCUGCUAAGUUGCCCCAGCCCGCACGGGCCUCAGGUUUCCGACCCUGGGCGACAGGAGAGGUGAGAUCAUUUCUACCUGGACAGAGCUUAUCACGUGGACUGUGGCUCAGGAAGGAGACCUUGACGUCAACCUUAGAAAGCAUUCAUAUCUCCAGACAAUCACCAGCCCCUGCCUGCCAUCCUCUCGAGCGCUGGGACCUAGACGGUCCAGUCCGACCGCUUCAGGGUAGGACGCACCUGGAGGGUGCGCGGUAGGCAGUGCUCACCUGAGCACAGGCCCUGUCCCCACCCAGCUGUGGCUCCAGCCAACCCGAAGUGGGCCACUUGUGGAUGAAGGCUGUCAUUUCUGCAGUGGCCUCGCUCCUUUUAACUCCCGAGCGUCCUUUAGAAAUGUUCAGACCAGGUCUGGAGUUCGUGAAGGCGAGGCAGUGGUCAAUGAGCUUGGGAGGUGGGGGAGGUCAUGAGCACCUGGAAGUUGUUUAGAACACUUUGUGUAUAUGCAUGUUUCUAGGGGAGGGGUAUAUUAUCAGCUUCCAAAGUGGAUCUAUCACUUCCCUGGAAACACUAAGAAUAUUUUAAUAGCUUGGGAUGCUGGACCUGUGGCCCAGCCAGGCUGCUGAUUCUGAUUUUGUCUCCAUUUGGCAUAUACCAAGUGCCCCAGAUGUAAAUCCUCUCAUGGUCAAUUUGAGGAAUGGUCUUAAGAUAGAAGCAGAGAGAAACGAAAAGAUUGAGCCAUAGUUAGCAGGAAAAAAAAUUAAUUUCAUGAAAAUUGAUUUCCUAAUGAGAAUAUGAUAAACUGGUUUUACAAAAGCAGCAAACAAAACCAGCAAAAACCAAAAAACAACAAAAAAAAAACAAGAAGAUGGCAAGCAGGUGAGUUUUUUUUUUUUUUAGGUUCUUCAAAUCCUAGUCACACUCAACACUGCACUGAACAGAGAUGAAAGAACUGCUUUACACUUAACAUUGAAAAAAGAAGUAGUCUGUUUGUGCCAAAGCCACCAUGCACAUACAAUCUGUGCCUUGUAUUCAUAUACCACCUAUCUGUAAAGGAUUCCAGGUGUGUGUGCGUGUGGGGGGGUUUAAUUUAAUUUUGACAAAUUCAUUUGUAAAUCAUAAUUUAAAAAACUCAAUUUAUAAUUGACAGUAUACUGUCAAUUACUGUAUACUGUAUACAAUAUACUGAUACUGACAGGAUUGACAGUAAAUGUACAACAUUGAGAUUUGAGUAUUCUGGCCGAGCGCAG
rnacentral:lncRNA from 1 species